rnacentral:lncRNA from 1 species
GUUUUGCAGAAUUUAUGUGUGGACUAUGGUGUCCAUGGUGCUGAAAAAUGAUCUGCUGUUUGGGCAAAUGCUGAUUGCAUCUGUCAGCAAUAUGGAAGUGGUGACACAAGGAGAAAUGAUACAGAGACCAAAUGCUUGUCCAGAUGCCCCUCUCAGCAUCCAGGCAAGUGGAUGUAAAGGGUCUCUCAGCAUACUUUUGUGUGUCAGAAUGGACCAGAACAGUGUGUUCAAUACUUGCACAGUCAUUAAAAUUGUGAAGAAGAGAUGUAAAGUGCCCUUAAACAUGGUGGCAGUUGCUUUGUGCAAGUCUAGAUACAUGCAGAAAAUGCCAGGGUGGAAAAUGAUGACUAGAAGAAAACAAUUCUCCAAAACAGCUGGGGAGAUGUUACCUGGUAGAGCUCCCUAAAGCCUUAGUCACUGUCUUGCAGGUUUGAGCCAUUAGCCUUGUCCAGUCUGGCAAAAGACUUGUUUAAGAUUAAAAAUGUGGUUUCUGUAUAAUUUUUAAGACUCACUUAAGUAAAACCUAAUUUGAAUGCAUUUUUGUGUAUUUGUAAACUAUUCAUUUCAGCAAAUUUGUGAUCAUCUUUUCUCUGCAUGACAGUCACCUUUGUUUUCCCUUUUUGCACACAGCUGAUUUUUCCUUCUCCCUUCUCUCUCUCAAGUUAUUACUUAAAAUGUAGGAGGCAUAACAGUGCUUUUCCACUGCCCUCUGAGACCUAGAG